AGCAGUGAGAGGGCUGCGUACCGCCAAAAAAAAAAAAAAAAAAGAAAAGUGAACAGAGCUUAAGGGAACUGUGGGACAACAUCAAGCAGACUGAUUAUAUGCAUUGCAGGAGACCCAGCAUGACGAGAGAGAGAAAGGGACAGAGAGAAAAUUUGAAGAAAACAAUGUUUGAAAACUUCCCAAAUUUGAUGAAAAAUAUGAAUAUAAACAUCUAACAAGCUCAAUGAACUCCAGAGCAGUAGAAAUUUCCAAGACUCGUUACUGGGAAAGGCAGUGAAAUUUCUGUAAGAGUCAGAGGAAAGAGCUUGCACUGGGAACCCUGCACCAGGUGGUUUAGGAGAUGCCGACCAUCAGAGCCAGAGAUGACCUUGAGAAGGGAAGAGAUCCCUGGGAAUUCACAGAAACCUGGGGGGUGAGUACCAGACUUUAUGAAGGGGGUGAAAGGGGGAAUAUGGAGUAACUCUAACUGACACAUGCAUCACACACACAUUAUCUUAUUUCAUCUUAAUAUCACAACAGAUGAGGAAACUGAAGAUCAGAAAGGUGAAGUG